rnacentral:rRNA from 1 species
AACGAACGCUGGCGGCAGGCCUAACACAUGCAAGUCGAGCGCCACCUUCGGGUGGAGCGGCGGACGGGUUAGUAACGCGUGGGAACGUACCCAGAUCUAAGGAAUAGCCACUGGAAACGGUGAGUAAUACCUUAUACGCCCUUAGGGGGAAAGAUUUAUCGGAUUUGGAUCGGCCCGCGUUAGAUUAGAUAGUUGGUGGGGUAAUGGCCUACCAAGUCUACGAUCCAUAGCUGGUUUGAGAGGAUGAUCAGCCACACUGGGACUGAGACACGGCCCAGACUCCUACGGGAGGCAGCAGUGGGGAAUCUUAGACAAUGGGCGCAAGCCUGAUCUAGCCAUACCGCGUGAGUGAUGAAGGCCUUAGGGUCGUAAAGCUCUUUCGCCAGGGAAGAUAAUGACUGUACCUGGUAAAGAAGUCCCGGCUAACUCCGUGCCAGCAGCCGCGGUAA